rnacentral:rRNA from 1 species
AAUAGAUACCCAGGUAGUCCACGCCCUAAACGAUGUUUACUUGCUGUUGGGGGGCAACCUUAGUAGCGUAGCUAACGCGAGAAGUAAACCGCCUGGGGAGUACGGUCGCAAGAUUAAAACUCAAAGGAAUUGACGGGGACCCGCACAAGCGGUGGAUGAUGUGGAUUAAUUCGAUGCAACGCGAAAAACCUUACCUGCUCUUGACAUGCCAGGAACUGGGUAGAGAUACCUGGGUGCCUUCGGGAACCUGGACACAGGUGCUGCAUGGCUGUCGUCAGCUCGUGUCGUGAGAUGUUGUCUUAAGUGACGCAACGAGCGCAACCCUUGCCACUAGUUGCUACCAUUUAGUUGAGCACUUUAGUGGGACUGCUGGAGAACAUCCAGAGGAAGGUGGGGAUGAGGUCAAGUCCUCAUGGCCCUUAUGAGCAGGGGCUUCACACGUCAUACAAUGGUAGGUACAAUUGGCAGCAAAGCCGUGAGGUGGAGCAAAUCCGAAAAGCCUAUCGUAGUCCGGAUCGC